AUUGAACGCUGGCGGCAGGCCUAACAAAUGCAAGUCGAACGAGUGGCGGACGGGUGAGUAAUGUCUGGGAAACUGCCUGAUGGAGGGGGAUAACUACUGGAAACGGUAGCUAAUACCGCAUACCAUCAGAUGUGCCCAUAUGGGAGUAGCAUGUUGGUGGGGUAACGGCUCACCAAGGCGACGAUCCCUAGCUGGUCUGAGAGGAUGACCAGCCACACUGGAACUGAGCCACGGUCCAGACUCCUACGGUGGGUAGCAGGGGGGAAUAUUGCACCAUGGGCGAAAUCCUUAUGCAGCCAUGCCGCGUGUAUGAAGAAGGCCUUCGGGUUUUAAAGUACUUUCAGCGGGGAGGCGUUACCCGCAGAAGAAGCACCGGCUAACUCCGUGCCAGCAGCCGCGGUAAUUC
rnacentral:rRNA from 1 species